rnacentral:lncRNA from 1 species
GACCUUACCCAGUUCCAGGGGCAGGGGACAGGGGCAGGGGGCCCAGGGUGGAGAGCGAGGCUCCCACGAUCUUUCUGUCCAGCAAGGAGCAGAGAGCAAGAAACCCUGAGGGACUGAGACAAGGAAACCUGGAGGCAAGGCUCAGGUGGGGCUGGCCCCUGCAUCCAGGGUCAAAUCAAGGGGCUUCCAGACAGGAGGGAUCCACUGGCUCAGGGCCCAGACCCUGUCCAUGCCCAUCCCUGUCGCCGGAGGGAGGGGCCCUGGCCUCGCCCAGGGCAGCCCUGUCCCAGCUGCAGUGCAGGCCGCUGGGCUCUGCAGAACAGUCCUUCCUGCAGCUGGAGCACAAGAACCACAGUCUGGUGAGCACCCCACCCACCGCCUGGCACUCCUGCCCCAGCCCCAGCCCCAGGAACGGCCAUGACAGGCAGUCCCCUCUCUCUGCCACCCACCGCCUGGUGCUCCUGCCCCAGCCCCAGCCCCAGGAACGGCCAUGACAGGCAGUCCCCUCUCUUUGCCCCCCACCCCCAGAAGAGGCAGAACCAGGACCUUCGGGAGCAGCUAGGGGCCCUCCUGGGGCCGGGGCAGCAGUUCCUGCUCGUGUCCCAAACACUCAAGCUGUACUCCCCUGGCCUGGUACAGAGCCCAGGGACCCCAUGCAGCCAAUGCUGAUCUGGGGGCUCUCCCACAGCCCCCUGACCCAGCUAACAUGCAGCCCUUGGGAAACAGGGCACCUCUGCAGCUGCUGUGGCAGGAGCUGUGUCAGCGGCAAAAGGCUUUCAUGCAGCAGUCCCAGGUGGGCCUGGGGGAGGGGUUGUGGGGGGGGGGACCUUCAUGCAACACUCCAGGAGGGCCUGGGGGGGUUCAGUGGGGAGGGAAGAACCUUCGUGCAGCAGGCCGGUGGGCCUGGGAGAGGGGCUAUGCGGGGAGGAACCUUCGUGCAGCAGGCCGGUGGGCCCAGCAGGGAGGUACUGGCCACCCUGCUGAUGCUGCCCAAGCCCACCCUGGGCCCCACCCUCAGAACGAGCUACAGCAGAUCCGCCUGUGCUUUGAGAAGAUGGUCAUCACAGAGCAUGGCUGAGAUGCACAUGGCCCUGAACAACCAGACACCAGGCUCCUGA